rnacentral:rRNA from 1 species
GACGAACGCUGGCGGCGUGGAUUAGGCAUGCAAGUCGAACGGUAGGAUACCUUCGGGUAUCUGAGAGUGGCGAACGGGUGAGUAACACGUAGGUUAUCUACCCUCAAGACGGGGACAACCCAGGGAAACUUGGGCUAAUACCGGAUGUGAGCAACUUUUAGUUGUUUGAAAGGUGGCGUAAGCUGUCGCUUGGGGAUGAGCCUGCGUCCUAUUAGUUAGUUGGUGAGGUAACGGCUCACCUAGGCAAUGAUAGGUAGGCGGCCUUAACGGGUGGUCGCCCACACUGGGAUUGAGAUACGGCCCAGACUCCUACGGGAGGCAGCAGUCGAGAAUAGUCUACAAUGGCCGAAAGGCUGAUAGUGCGACGCCGCGUGAACGAAGAAGCCCUUCGGGGUGUAAAGUUCUUUUAUAUGUGAGCAGUGCUUUCUAUGUGAACAGCAUGGGGAGAGAGAUAUUAGCAUAUGAAUAAGCAACGGCUAAACUCCGUGCCAGCAGCCGCGGU